GGCUGUGAGCUGGUGUAAUCUCAGCUGGCAACUGUGAGCAGUUAGCGAACCCUCUCACAGUGGUAUCUGGGAUUAUGCUAAACACGGCA